UUAUAGUUUUGUGCGAGUGUUUCAUCGGCUGCCCUCCCCAUUGGGGUUUGUUCAAACACAUCUUUUCCGCCAGAUCCCAAACCAUCAAACGACUUAGCCAGUCGGAUGAUAAGACGCAUCUCCUCCAGCUCUGCGGGGGUUUAGGUUUUCAGAAGAAGAGUCGGAGUAGUUAUCCUGCUCUUCAGUUAAGUGAGUCGGUCAGGAACUGGUAGUCGACGUGGUUCUACUGCCAGGAUAUCGCCUGUCCGAAUGCGUCGACUGGGCUGCCUCCUUUUAGUUUAGACCGGCCCGCCCCACC
rnacentral:lncRNA from 1 species